UUUUUUUGAGAGCCCAAAUGCCCAAAAGGGGCUCAGGACCUUUUCCAUUCAUUGCAUGGGCCUGUAUACCCUAAUACCAUCUACUUCCGCGAGCGUCCCUCGCCUCGUUAUCAGUGCUCUUGUCUCAAGCUGAGCAACUGUCUUUGACAGAAGUCAUUGAAACCCUGCAUUCCCAUGAGCUCCUUGGUGGGUAGUUUUUUGAGCAUAAGGAAAGAGAAAAAGAGAGAGAGGGGAAGAAAUGGUUGUCGAUUUCGCAACAUAGUACCUGGUUGCUCCCACUAGGCGUCAAUUUGGGUACUGUGAUGUUUGAUGAGAGCUCACUAAGUAUCUUCGAGAUGGAGUGGAUAAGAUGAGGGAUGUGAAGCGGAAGAGUAGGGCCUUUCGUCGGUGAGGCCAAGCGUUUUGUGGAAUCUACAGGCUUUGAUGUUAAGAAAUGGUUGGGUAGUCUGGGGGCGCACCACCAUGGAUGCAGAAAACCCGCUGAAAUUCGAGGCAAGUGGUAAGGAUGUUUGCUCCCGCCGGGGGUUUCCGAACCCCAUGGCCUGAUUUUUGAAGGGUAGGGAUUGGAGGAAGAUGAUUUGGGUCUUCAUGGGGCUUUAAGUGGAAAGCUGUAAGAGUUACUUCCAGAAGUUUUAUCUCAAGUGCAGUCCAUCUGGAAUGGUCAUCGGCAUGGCUUUUGCCGCGAGAUCAGAUGCCUUGGAGGCAAGUACUGCAACCAACAGUGUCAUUGUGAUGGGAGUGUAUCGACAGCUAUUGGAUGAUGUGGAAAGGCUAGUUAAGGAAGAGAAGUUGUUCGAUGUUGUUGUUGAGGCAACUUUACCACAUCACAGAUUUGCCGUGCUUAAAGUAAUUCAUGGAGAAUUCACUUAUGCAUUGAGCUUGAAGCAGAUUAAUGAGGAAACUGCACUUGGAAUUGUGGAUCUUCUUCGGAAGAAGUUAGAAGUUGAUCCAAUGAGGAAAAUCCUCAUCGUGUAUUGACAACUUGUAAAGGAAGAGAAGCCGUUUGACGUGUAAGAAGGUUUAUAGUAUACCCUUUCACCAAAUAGACCAUGGAUCCUUUAGCCAUGUUGCCUAUCAAGUUUUUCAAUUCAAACGGUUUUCAAAUAUCAUUUUGGCCGAAACUUUGUUUCACUCACUCGAUUUAAUCAUCGCUAGAGUGUUGAUUGAUAAUGGUUCUGCAUUAAAUAUAUCCCCAUUGGCCACCCUUCACUGUUUGGGAGUUGAUUUGGAGAAAAUACGAACAGCCCGAAGAAGCCGUUCGAUUUUCAAUGUGAAUUUUGAGGAAAUUUAUCACAUCACGAACGCGCGGAACUUAUAGAUAUUCAUGGAGAAUUCUUUUGUGCAUUGGAUUUGAAGUUGAUUAAUGAGGAAAUUGCACUUGGAAUUGUGAUUCUUCUUUGGAAGAGGUUAGAAGAUGAUUCGAAGAGGAAAAUCGUCAUUAUUUAGAUGACAUAGGGAAGAUCCUAUAAAUAAAGGGCGACGACACUAGUUAUUUCCGACAUUUAGAGGUUGAUAAAUUGCUUGUCUACUGGGCUUGAAGUUGAUUAAUGAGGAAAAUGUACUUGGAUUUAUGGAUUUUCUACAUAAGAGGUUAGAGAGUGAUCCUAAGAAGAAAAUUCUCGUCACUUUAGAUAAUUUGUGCAUGAAGGUACCGCUAAAGGAUGUAAAGUACCUUGCGGAGAUGACAACAAACCAAUAGGUUGCAAGUUAUUGCAAUAUGGAGAAACCGAGAUGUUUUGUGCAUUGAUGUGGGCUCUUGGACCAAGAGUUCAUGCUCAAUGAGUUGAAGCUUGAAGAAGCACGAUUAAUUUUUGAAAAGUCGGUUGGGGAUAUAGGCAAUGAUCACGAGUUGAAACACUUGGCAGAUAGAUUGCUCAAGAAUUGUGCAAGCAUGCCCCUUUUGAUUCUUUCGGCAGCAAAAACGUCGAAGCAUGGGAAUUUGCUUGCUCGGAGGACUGAUUUGACCAAAAUUGAAGUGGUAGAUGUAAACUCGAUAGUAGUACUGAACUAGAAGGAUUUGGAACAUGGGAAUGUCAAAAUAUUGUUCUGAAGCAUUGGCCUUCUUGGUGGAACAUCCCCAAUCAAGACCCUAUUAUCCAUUGCAUGGUUUUGGACCAUUUAAAGAUUUGAAUAAUACCAAUAGCAUCGAGGGCACUAGAUAUAAGCCGACUGAAGAUCUAAAUACCUUGCCGACCUCUUCUUUGUUGCCUGGAUAACGAUGACAGGGGAAUGAUCAGGAUGCAGGAUCUAUUUGUGAUGUGGCCUGGUUGAUUGCAUAUAGGGAAUGUAGCACCUUGGUGAGGAGGAACGAUAUGGGUUUAAAGAGUUGACAAAGGACGAGCUCAAGGAAAUGCACUGGUAUACUUUCCUCUUUUGUGCAGAAGUUCCUUAUGUCUGGCUUUGUCAGGUUUCCUUGUCUUGUUUGGCGUCUUUGGCAUUGUCUGAACUUCCCAAACCGAAAGAGAUACGGAAACUAUCAAUUUCCAUCGGAUUUCAGCAAACCCAGUCUGCAACAUGCAUUUGCCGACACGAUCUUUGGGUUAGCCAUUGCCUUCUCUUCAUUCUUCAAUCAACAGGCACGCAAGGCAGGGUAUUCCUAGUAAAUAAUGUAUAGCUCAGAUAGUGUCGUGCUUACAUUUUCUUUCUUUCUAUUUUGAGCAAUUUUUCAGUUUGAUCAGAGACCUUGGAGAGCAUUUGAACUCUCCCUUGCUGAAUUUUAUCAUCGGAUACUGUUGUUUUGUACUCAA